rnacentral:rRNA from 1 species
AUUGAUCGCUGGCGGCAUGCUUUACACAUGCAAGUCGAACGGUAACAGGCCGCAAGGUGCUGACGAGUGGCGAACGGGUGAGUAAUGCAUCGGAACGUGCCCAGUCGUGGGGGAUAACGCAGCGAAAGCUGCGCUAAUACCGCAUACGAUAUAUGGAUGAAAGCGGGGGACCGUAAGGCCUCGCGCGAUUGGAGCGGCCGAUGUCAGAUUAGGUAGUUGGUGGGGUAAAGGCUCACCAAGCCAACGAUCUGUAGCUGGUCUGAGAGGACGACCAGCCACACUGGGACUGAUACACGGCCCAGACUCCGACGGGAGGCAGCAGUGGGGAAUUUUGGACAAUGGGCGCAAGCCUGAUCCAGCAAUGCCGCGUGCAGGAAGAAGGCGUUCGGGUUGUAAACUGCUUUUGUACGGAACGAAACGGUCCUGGUUAAUACCUGGGGCUAAUGACGGUACCGUAAGAAUAAGCACCGGCUAACUACGUGCCAGCAGCCGCCGUAAAAC